CCUACGGGAGGCAGCAGUGAGGAAUAUUGGUCAAUGGGCGAGAGCCUGAACCAGCCAAGUCGCGUGAGGGAGUACUGCCCUAUGGGUUGUAAACCUCUUUUGUCGGGGAGCAAAAGCCGGACGUGUCCGGCUGUGAGAGUACCCGAAGAAAAAGCAUCGGCUAACUCCGUGCCAGCAGCCGCGGUAAUACGGAGGAUGCGAGCGUUAUCCGGAUUUAUUGGGGUUAAAGGGUGCGCAGGCGGAUUUUUAAGUCAGCGGUCAAAUCGUGGGGCUCAACCCCAUCCAGCCGGUGAAACUGGGGAUCUAGAGUGUGCGAGAGGUAUGCGGAAUGCGUGGUGUAGCGGUGAAAUGCAUAGAUAUCACGCAGAACCCCGAUUGCGAAGGCAGCAUACCGGUGCACAACUGACGCUCAGGCACGAAAGCGUGGGUAUCGAACAGGAUUAGAUACCCGGGUAGC
rnacentral:rRNA from 1 species